ACAAGCUGGCUCGUUGUUAUGGCUCCAUUGAAGAAAAGGCUGAGGCAGAGAAGAGCCACGGCGAUGGCUGGCUCACAUCCGGAAUGAGCCACGCCCAAUAUCACAAAGCCCGGUCCCAGCAUGGCUGUGGUUGCGUUAGGCCGAGGAGCACCCGGAGGAAGAUGAGACCAGCGUAGUGCAACUUGGCCAUGAGUGGAGAGAGGAGAGUGCACAGAGCCCCGCCGAAGAUGCAUCCGCCGAACACCCACCUCGUGCCAUACAGCUCUGCCAGUCGUCCUCCUACGAUCUGCAGUACAACAAGGCAGGCAAGCUUCUCAGGAAUCAGAAGUUAAUCCUGCUUCUUGCCAUUUACAUGUUAGUCAACGAACCGUUUCUUCGCUCAUCGGCGACUUCUUCAGGAC